rnacentral:misc_RNA from 1 species
UUUUUUUUUUUUUUUUUUUUUUUCAGCAACCCACCCCCCUUUUCAGUCUUUAAGUAUGUUACAUCUCAGCAUUGGAUGUCUCAAGUUAGAGGUGGUGUCACUACAAUGUUACAUAUGAUUCCCUAUUUUUAUUUUUUCUACUUUUAGGCAGAAAAAAGGGUUACAGAUGAUUCAUGAUUCACUCUGUAGUAUACAUCUCUUUUUAUUGGUGCAUUUACAAAUCGAACCUUACAAACAUUCUUGAAUAAGUAACAACAUUACAAACAUUCUUGAAUAAGUAACAACAAAAAGAUAUGGAUUUCAGCUGCAACUUAACCCACUGAUCCUUCGAGCUUCAAGCUCAUCAGUUGGUUCAC